CGGCCCUGGACGGAAAGGUCCUUCAAUCAGAGUAUUCUGCUCAGCCACACAUUAUCUGUUUCUCUCAGAUAAAUAAUAUAACACUGCAAUAAAUCACCUAGGAGUGCAUUCCUCUCGCAUAAUUCAAAGGAAUCCAUUUGCAAUAAAUCUUCCCCUUUGUCUUAUCAGAACAAGGUUUGUGUUACCUUGCUUCCCUCUUUUCUCUUGAUGAUAAAGAAUACCGUUCUUUUAAUGAUAUUCCCUAAACUGUGCUAGAGGAUAGCCUUUAAAUACUGUGCACCCUGAAGGCCAGUGGGGAAAAAAAAGAAUCAGAAAUAUAAUACGGAAGGAAGCAAGAUGCAUCUGCGUUAUUUACAGAGUAUGAAUCAGAAUCCACGUUGAAGGCAAUAACCAGAUUUUCCAAGAAAAGACGCACAAGCCUGAAGUUGAAUCUGCCAAUACUCCAGGACCCAUCAAUCAAGAUAACGAUGUCUGCGAAGGCUGGAAUUUUGCACUUAAAUUGGUUUUCUGUUUAGAAUAAAAUAACAAGGAAGAUGA